CGGCGGACGGGUGAGUAAUGCCUGGGAAAUUGCCCUGAUGUGGGGGAUAACCAUUGGAAACGAUGGCUAAUACCGCAUAAUAGCUUCGGCUCAAAGAGGGGGACCUUCGGGCCUCUCGCGUCAGGAUAUGCCCAGGUGGGAUUAGCUAGUUGGUGAGGUAAGGGCUCACCAAGGCGACGAUCCCUAGCUGGUCUGAGAGGAUGAUCAGCCACACUGGAACUGAGACACGGUCCAGACUCCUACGGGAGGCAGCAGUGGGGAAUAUUGCACAAUGGGCGCAAGCCUGAUGCAGCCAUGCCGCGUGUAUGAAGAAGGCCUUCGGGUUGUAAAGUACUUUCAGCAGUGAGGAAGGCGGAUUCGUUAAUAGCGCGCCUCGUUUGACGUUAGCUGCAGAAGAAGCACCGGCUAACUCCGUGCCAGCAGCCGCGGUAAUACGGAGGGUGCGAGCGUUAAUCGGAAUUACUGGGCGUAAAGCGCAUGCAGGUGGUUUGUUAAGUCAGAUGUGAAAGCCCGGGGCUCAACCUCGGGAAUUGCAUUUGAAACUGGCAGACUAGAGUA
rnacentral:rRNA from 1 species